GGAUGCGAUAAUACCAACAGUAAACAACGGAUCCCAUUAGAACCCUUAAGUUAAGCUUGCUUGGGCGAGAGUAGUACUAAGAUGGGUGACAUCUAGGGAAGUCCUUGUGUUGCAUUCG
rnacentral:rRNA from 1 species